UGAUCGCGUUGUAUAGCAAUCUAUACUGUGAAACUGCGAAUGGCUCAUUAAAUCAGUUAUCGUUUAUUUGAUAGUACCUUACUACUUGGAUAACCGUGGUAAUUCUAGAGCUAAUACAUGCUAAAAACCCCGACUUCGGAAGGGGUGUAUUUAUUAGAUAAAAAACCAAUGCCCUUCGGGGCUCCUUGGUGAUUCAUGAUAACUUAACGAAUCGCAUGGCCUUGCGCCGGCGAUGGUUCAUUCAAAUUUCUGCCCUAUCAACUUUCGAUGGUAGGAUAGUGGCCUACCAUGGUAUCAACGGGUAACGGGGAAUUAGGGUUCUAUUCCGGAGAGGGAGCCUGAGAAACGGCUACCACAUCCAAGGAAGGCAGCAGGCGCGCAAAUUACCCAAUCCCGACACGGGGAGGUAGUGACAAUAAAUACUGAUACAGGGCUCUUUUGGGUCUUGUAAUUGGAAUGAGUACAAUUUAAAUACCUUAACGAGGAACAAUUGGAGGGCAAGUCUGGUGCCAGCAGCCGCGGUAAUUCCAGCUCCAAUAGCGUAUAUUAAAGUUGUUGCAGUUAAAAAGCUCGUAGUUGAACCUUGGGCCUGGCUGGCCGGUCCGCCUCACCGCGUGUACUGGUCCGGCCGGGCCUUUCCUUCUGGGGAUCCUCAUGCCCUUCACUGGGUGGUGCUGGGGAACCAGGACUUUUACUUUGAAAAAAUUAGAGUGUUCAAAGCAGGCCUUUGCUCGAAUACAUUAGCAUGGAAUAAUAGAAUAGGGACGUGCGGUCCUAUUUUUGUUGGUUUCUAGGACCGCCGUAAUGAUUAAUAGGGGAUAGUCGGGGGCAUCAGUAUUCAAUUGUCAGAGGUGAAAUUCUUGGAUUUAUUGAAGACUAACUACUGCGAAAGCAUUUGCCAAGGAUGUUUUCAUUAAUCAGUGAACGAAAGUUAGGGGAUCGAAAAGAUCAGAUACCGUCGUAGCCUAACCGUAACUAUGCCGACAGGGGAUCGGGCGAUGUAUUCUUUUGACUCGUCCGGACCUUACAAAAU
rnacentral:rRNA from 1 species